UCUGAGCUGUCAGCACAGAGCCUGACAUGGGGCUCCAACUCAUAAACCGUGAGAUCAUGACCUGAGCCAAGGCUGGACGUUCAAUCUACUGAGCCCCAAUAAUCUGAAUUUUUAUGUGUGCUUUGGCUACUUCUGUAUCUCCAGGCAUAGAAAGGGGCCUGGUCCAGAGCAGAUAUGUAGUCAACAGUGUGUGAAGAAUCCUGGGAGGCCGAAGUAGGAGAUAGUGUGGCGGCCUCCCCGAGUCCAACUCUGAAGAAUUUUGCAGAGUUUGGGAAUCUUUGCCGAGAGCUUUUGUAGCACCGUGGGAAACGCUUCAUGCGGAUCAUCUCAUUCAGUCCUCCGAGCUGACGUGUGAACUCCAUGCUCUUACUGGCAGAUACAAGUCUUUCUUAUCACAGCCCAUCAUAGAGUUACAUUCAGAGGACACACUUCAGAUCGGCAAGUACCCUUCACCUGAGUCAUACAGUAUGGACUACCUCUCUGCUUGUCUUCCCCUUUUCUGCUUAAAAAUGGCGUGUGUGUGUGUGUGUGUGUGUGUGUGUGUGUGUGUGAGGGAGAGAGUCUGCGGGUGUCCAUGUGAUGUCACCGAGCAUAUACUCUUUGCAUCACAUUUACUGUAAAGGAAUUUCAGACGACACCUGUUGAAUUCAAAGACAUGCCAUUAUUGGAGCAGACCUCCAAGAUUUACCCGAACUCGAAGAGAAGCUAAAGAAAUGUAACAUGAAUCCACAGUGAGAUUUUUUUUUUUAAACCUCUAAUGCAUUUGUGAUUUCAUGCUAAUGUGAAAUAAGGUCAGUCGAAAGUGUAGCAUGAUACCCAUGUCUCAUUUUUUAUCCUGAAACGUUAAUCAUUGCUACUGAGAGCAGUUUUCUAAAAUUUUUUGAGGAGCAGUGUUUCUCCUGUUUUCACGUCAGAAUCACGUGUAUUGCUUUUGUAACAUACUGAUGCCUAAUAUCACACAGUUUGAGAGAAGAGAAGUAUAUGCAUAAAAACCUGUAACUGGAGGGUGCCUGGGUGGCUCAGUUGUUUAAGCAUCCAACUCUUGAUUUCAGCUCAGGUCAUGAUCUCACGGUUGAUGAGAUUGAACCUCGCGUCAGGCUCUGUGCUGACAGCCUGGAGAUGACAGGCAGUACGCGUGUGAAAGCAAGUGACCAGAAAUGGGUGCACAAAGAAGCCCGGGAUGCACGAGUCCAGCUGUCGCUCUGCAAAACAGGCCGGAGCGUGAAGACCUUUCCAUCUUUUCCUCCAUUCUGUGGCGCUAACCUGCUGUCCGGUGCUGUUUCCUCACUGUCUGGUGAUGCCGCCUCACCUCAUGCCGACAUCCUCCGUCUCCCAGGGCUGCUUCCCACUCAGCGGCAGGAGCCCCGUCUGACCAGCACAGGAGCGCAGCCGGGAGGCUCAGGUGGCCAAGGUCAGAGAGGGAGUCGGUGAGCUGCACAGACUCAAGUCCAGCUUCCUUUUUCCUGGACUCCAGCUGCCCCAGAGGAAUUUUCGUUUCCAAGGCCUCACCUAAAAGCUUUGAUGACAUCAUGGAGCGGACUAACUACCAAAAGAAGCUGAUUAGUCCAGGAGAGUAAUUCAGUGUGAUCGCCAGAUCUCAUCAUGGAGAAGAUCACAUUUCAGCGUUUCUGGGGAAGCUCUCCCACAGACGCCACGUGUGUUCCAGAGACCAGCAGGACACCCCCACCGACACGGGGGGCGCACGGCGCCUCUCCACAGCCCUGUUCACAGCCCGGGAGCCGAGGCGACCCCUCUCUCCACGAACUGGCCUGGGGUUCCCGGCCCUGGGCUCGAAGAGGUCUGUGCAGUCCGUGAAAUUCUGUGCCAACUCGCGUGCAUACAUGAUGUUUUCACGGGGAGAGUGCUGUCAGAACCUCCAUCUACAUUUACGGGGAGCAGGUCUCUAUUCCCAGAGACUGUUCCAAGAGUCAAAGGCUGCAGUUAAGAAGUCCAUUGCCCUGUGACCAGCUAUCACUUCUUCAGAAGCCAUAUGAACAUAUUGUCGGGUUGCCUGGGGGGCUCAGUCGGUUCAGUGUCCAACUUCAGCUCAGGUCAUGAUCUUACGGUUCGGGAGUUUGAGCC